UACGUAGGUGGCAAGCGUUGUCCGGAUUUAUUGGGUUAAAGGGUGCGUAGGCGGUUCAAUAAGUCAGUGGUGAAAUACGGCAGCUCAACUGUCGAGGUGCCAUUGAUACUGUUGGACUUGAGUACAGACGAGGUAGGCGGAAUUGACGGUGUAGCGGUGAAAUGCUUAGAUAUCGUCAAGAACACCGAUAGCGAAGGCAGCUUACUAGGCUGUAACUGACGCUGAGGCACGAAAGUGUGGGGAUCAAACAGG
rnacentral:rRNA from 1 species